GAGAGGACACGGUUCUCAGGCCAUGGACAUUCCUCCAUCCAGUAUCUGCUAAGUGCCUACUGUGGAAGGGCACAGGGCCAGGCACUGGCCAGACACACAGCCUAUGGGAUCAACCAAGGCUGCAACCAGCAGCCCACAUCACCCCGCCCGUCAGCGACAAGGCACGCUUAGCGUAGAAGUUUUAUCCCCGAAAGUGCACAUCGGACGUCCCCAAGGGGAAGGCCCCAUGCACAAGAGGGCGGCAUCUUCAGAACUCACUGCCACCACACAGGCCACACCUGGCUCUCUUACUGACCAUCAUUCCCCUCCCCAAGUCUCAAAAUUCCUGGGCUUCCCCUGCGUCACUCCUGUCUCCUCGCACCUGCCUCCACAAGCACAUCUCCAACCCCUCCCAGCGACCCCGGAUGAUGGACUUACGGAAGGACCAACUUUGCCUUGAGGACCAGCAUCACCAGGGCGACCCGUGAGACCCUUUGUUCAGGAGAGAGAAGAGGAUAUGUGUCAGGGCAGCCCCAGAUCCUCCCAGUGCUGGCAGCAUGGGAUUGGAGGGGCAUGCAGAGUCUGCUGGGAGUCAGAUGCAGUCUGUUCAAGGACAAAGGCAGAUCGGCCACCUACCCGGGCUCCAGGAAGGCCAGGCUCUCCGGGACGGCCAGGGUCACCGUUGGCUCCCUUGGGACCAGCAAGGCCACUGGGACCUCGCUCUCCAGGGGCUCCCUACACAAAAGGAGGCAAAGGGUCAGCAGAAGCCAUCUGACCAGUGAUGCAGGGACCGACCCCAGGCCCUGUUCCCCCACUUACCUUGGGACCUGCUAGACCAUCUUGACCAGGGAAACCACGGUUGCCAGGAGCACCCUAGGAAGAAGUGGAGAGGAGAGGCAGGGGGUUAGAGUGGCCCCUAGCCCAACCCUGGCUGCAAAGAGCCUAGCCAGAUGCCAGAGGGUCCAGCCCACCAACCCUGCACCCACAAUUUCUUGGAGCAGUAGCUACAGCCUGCAAGCUUGUGAGAGAUUAACUUUCUGGGAAGGAGAUCCCCUGUUUCAUGUCAUCCUGGGGGUGAGGGAUACAAAUAAGAAGGUGCCCUAUCCCCAUCAGAUGGGCAGUGGGUGGAGAAAAGAGAAGUAUGGUGUCCAGAAGGCCACAGACUUGGCAGAGCCCCAGAGCCACAAGGAUUCAGCUCCCAUCCUUGGGUCACGCCCCUGAGCAUGGGGCUCCUGGCUCACUUACUCUUUCUCCAGGGGGACCGGCAGGCCCAGCACCACCAGGCUCUCCACGGGCACCUCUUUUGCCUUCUUCACCAGCAGGACCGGGGGCUCCUUGGGGACCAGCAGGGCCCUGUAAACCAGCACAGAGAAACAGGAUGAGUCUUCGCCUGGCCCUGCAGCAAGCACAGGCCUGGCCUGCAGAGGAAGUGGCUGUGGCUACAGUUUCAGGGUGGGGGGGACCUGGGGAAAAGGGGUCAUGAAGAAUCAGAUGGGGAAGGGCAGACAUGGCCCAGUGGGAAGAGAUUACAAAGUUUGAAAUCAGUCAAGCUGGUCAAGCCAAAGAUGGGAGCUGAAGCUGCAUCAGCUUCUCAACCUGGUUGUAGCUCUGCUCCAGGCACAGCCUGUGAGGGCCCAGAUGAGGGGAUGGGGGCUACUGCAGAGGUGGGCAGUGGGCCAGGGGCGGCCACAGAGCAGUGACUUGGAAAGACAAGAGCUGGUGGGCAGAUACGCACCGGUUCUCCCUUGGGGCCUUGUUCGCCUUUGAAGCCAGCAAUUCCAGGCUCACCCUUGACAAAGGAGAAAGGCAGGUUCUCACAUUCUCUUCUUUCCGUGGCCCUGCCCCCACCUCCCAAGACCCUUGAAGGCAUCCACUGAAGGACACGGUGUGCGCUCAGGAAGGGGAGAUGCAGGUAUGAUUCCAGGGCCGUUGGUAGGCCUUGGGGUUCCCUCUGGGUCUUACCGUUUGACCUUUCGGGCCCAGAGGACCAGUUGCACCUUGAGGGCCGGGUGGACCACGGGGCCCGGGGAAGCCAGGAGCACCAGCAAUGCCAGGAGCACCCUGUCGGCAUGAGCAGAAAGAGGGGCAUCAGGAAAGAGGUUGAGGAGGGACUGACCCCACCGGGAGGAGCCAAGUCCGAGGGCAGAACUCACAGCAGAUCCUUUAGCUCCAGGAAUUCCAUCAGUUCCAGGGUUACCCUGAAAAAGGAGACAGUGUCAUUAUAAAACAAGCAGCAAAGAAUAAACACCAGCCACCUUCCAGCCGUCCCAGGCCGCAGGUUCAGGGGUAGGCCAGCAGCAGCCCAUUCCAGCUAGGCACAGGGUCAAGUGUGCCAAGGCCUCAGACCCCAGACCCUUCAGGCCAAAGAAAAACUACACUUACAGAGGCACCAGCUGGCCCAGGGGACCCAGGAUUUCCAGGUUCACCUCGAGGACCUUGGGCGCCUUCAGGACCUCGAGCACCAGUGGGGCCAGCUUCACCCUGAGAAGAGACAGGGAGGAAUGGAGUGAGGACAGGUCACGGUGACAGAGAUCUCUCAAGGGCCAGCAACAGUUCAGGACAAGCUAUACGCAUGUAUACAAAGCCUGGUCCUGCACCUGUGCCCCUGGCAUGUGAGCACUCGGGGUCCCACCCGUGUUCCCACGUGGGCCGCCUGGCUGAGCCUGCAGCUCUGGUGACUUCCUGCCUCACCCACUCUACUCUCCAUCUUCCCGCCAGACUGUGACCAUGACCAGUGAAUACACGGUUUCCUGCCACAGCCCGGGCGUCAUGCUGGGCCCAUCGACACCCAUCAGAAAAGCUGGAGCUGGGUGAUCCUGCCAGCCCACAUCACGGGAUAAAGGAUGGCUGGCUGAGAUGGGCAGGCAUCUCUACCUCCCCUUCCCCACCUAUUUCCUCUUUCACUGAGGCCCUCAAACAUCUCAGCUCAGGGCACCACUUGGCUUUUAUCUGGCUGAUGUGUGAACCAGGCUCUGGCCCAAGCCUGCCUGAAGGACGCCAGAAAGCCAGGCAAAAGCAAGCCGGGACCAGCGCCCCACCUCUGCUUUUCCCAAAAUGGCCUCUGCUUUUCCUUUCAUUUUUUCCUGAAAGUUACAACUGGCUGCGAUGUGGGCUCUCUGGACGGUGAAGUCCCCGGGGAGGACUGCUGACCUGGAGGGAGGGCAGAGGCUCCUCAGGUUCUUUUCAGAACAUUCUUGCUUCACUUUUGUAAUUAUUAUUUUCUAGGGGUCAGGCCCCCUCACCUUCCGCCAUCCCUCUUCACAAUGGGUCUCCUUCACCCGGCUCCUGGGGCCUCAGACACUGUCUGGUUGCCAUGGGAACCCACCCCCCCUCCCCGGAGGGGAAAAGCAACCUGAUGCCAGUGACCACAUGGAGGCUCCUUAUUCAUGUCCUGGCGGCACCGGGAGAGAAUUCCCAGGGACACACCGCGUUGGAAUCCCUCCUGGGCCACAGGCACAGGGGCCUUUCCCUGAACUGGCUGACCUCCCGCUGGCCUCUCUUAAUCCUCGGAAGAACUCUAUUAACACGGCAUGGAAGAGCCAGGCCUCCCAAAUGAAGCAGGGGUGAGAGGAAGCCUGGAACCAUCUCCAAGCCUGCUUCCCUCCAACUCCCUGCCGGGUCUAAAGUCAGCUGAGCUUUUGCCUUCUGUCCUUCAGCUCCUGGUCUUCUGCUCCCUCUCAGGGCUUGGCUGUCUCCCCAUCUUUGGCUGUUCCCCACUCUGAAGCUGUAAGUGCACCUCCAGCUUUUUUUUAUCAUUCCACCUUCCUUUCCCUUCUAGCUGGUGACUCCAUGAAAUGCCUAGCUUGUUCUUUGCCUCCGUGAAGAGCAGCAGCAGGGGGAGCGGGGCACACCUCGGAAGGGGAGGGGCAUCGUGGGGUAGGGGCCAGCAGCCGGGGUUAUAGGGAGAGGGCAGGACACGCACCUUGGCACCGGGAGCACCAGGGAAGCCAGGACCGCCAGCAGGACCCACGGGACCCUGGAAGAAAGAUGCGGGUGGAGAGGUGAAUGCCUCUCUCCAGCCUCAAAGUGAGCCACCCCCACACCACACAUGCCUUCCCACCUUUGUGCUGGAUCUUGUGCUACCUCCAUUGUAACUGAACAUCCCUGGAUGAAAACUAUCCCCACUGCCCGUGUCCCAAGCCUGGCUUCAUAAGGCAAAGCAUGUUUCUGACUAUGUCCACAGUGAGAAGCGGGUGACUCUUUCACCUCCCUCUACAUCUCUCCUCAAAAAAAAAAAAAAAAAAAAAAAUCUGCGAGAGGGUGGCCAAGAAAAAGGAAGCAUUGCUUCGAGGCUCGACAUCAGCAUGUUCUCAGAGUAGCGACAAAUUAUUCCUUCCCCUUCCCAGGAGGAGCCAGAGCACCGCGUGGGUACUGAGCAAAUGCUGCAGCUUCACGGGGCUGCUGACGGGGACUCAGGUAAAACGCCCCACGACAAAGUGAACUUACCGGAGGCCCUGCAGGGCCUGGUUGACCGUCGUUGCCCCGGGCACCCUGUGAGCGAGAAGGAAGCAGCCUGGUGAGACGUGUCCUCCGGUCCAGUCCCUCCCUGCCCGGCCUAUCCACACGGGGCCCUGGGCUGAGCAGGAGGCUGGAGAGGUGUGAGCUGCGGGAGGAAGCAGCCCCAGGACCCUCCGUGGGGGCUUUGAGAACCAAGCAAGCAAUGGGCCUGUUCUCCCCGUAACACAGCUUGGGUCGUUUCCCAUCCAGUGCAUUGUUUCUUUCUUCCUUUUUCUUUUUUCUUUUUUUUAAAUUUUUACCGUCGCCCCCGUGGUAUAUGGAAUUUCCCAGGCCAGGGAUUGAAUCUGAGCAUAGCUGCUACCUAUGCCACAGCUGCGGCAACACUAGGUCCUUUACCCCACUGAGCCAGGCCAGGGAUGGAACCUGAGCUUCUGCAGUGACCCGAACCACUGCAGUAGGAUUCUUAAUCCAUGGCGCCACAGUAGGAACUCCGGUUCCAUUGUUUCUUAAACUCCAUUUAGACCCCAAAUAUCUCCAACUUCAAGGCCAAAUUAGCAUUUAAGGACUCAGUGAAAUGGGCCAGAGGGAAAUGAAGUAGCCAACCAGCAAUCCCGACUUGGUUCUUCCUGCCUGUCACAGAGGAAAGCACUUUCAGGGCUCAUUAACCUCCUUGGUUAAGGCUUGGUUAACUCCAGCAUCUGCACCCCGAAUCCCACUCUCAACCCACAAGACAACCUGCUCCAAAGGAAAACAGAGAAGCAGCAGGAUGUCUGCCCCCAUCCCGGAAAGAAGCUGUGUGAUGGGGACAGGGCACCGGGAUUAGCCCAGGACCACAUCUGAGCUUGGGCCCCCAGGACACCAAGGCUGCCGGCUCUUCCUAUGUAGGAUUUGCUCUUUGAGGGCUCCCCCACCCCAUCCGGGGUUUGUGGUGAGCACCUCCAGUCUCUCUCUCAAGGCCCCCCAGGGCCCAGGGCACCGUUCAGCUAGGUAAAGCUGGGCCUGGCACCAAGGCACCAAGGUACCAGGUCUUUGGAGGGGACGGAGCAGGCCAGGGGGUGACUCUUCCUGAGCUGAGCCCCGCCUGCCUGCCUCUGCCUCUCCUCGGAGGCUGAAGAAGGAUGCUUUAGGGGGAGCUCCUGUUUUAAAUAAGAGUCAGAUCUUCCUCCUGGCAGUGGUCCGUUUCCCCUGACUGAGACUCUCCAGGUUGGCGUUAAACAGGGAAGCAGGAGAAGACUUAACAGAACAAAAUGUCAGAGGGAACAUAAAGCAUUGGCCAGAGCCCCUUCUAGACCAGCCUGGCCACUUCGAGAAGUACCCUCCCUCCAGGGGUUGGCCAGAGGAGAGGCCCAGGCUGGCUAUGCGGGCUGGCUGGCAUCCAGGGCUCCCCUGGCAGCAAGGCUGGGGAGUGGGCACCAUCUGGCCCAAGAAGGGGGGUGGCACAUGACCACUGCAGGCAGAGGCCCACCCAGCCCCCAUCCCAGGUCCAGCCUUGACACCAGGCCUGCACUUGGAACUACGUGACAUUUUCAGUGUGCUCCUGCCAAUCCUGUGCCCGCCCUGCCAGCCUGACUACCGUGGGGAUAGAACCAGCAAGGAGAAGCAAGAAGCAAGGUCUCCUGUGCCCAGGAAAGUAGGGGAACAGAGGUGCAGCCCAUCUGUACCCCUCACGGGGUGUGGCCACCAUGGCUCCAAGCCUGGCCCAAAAGCCACAAGCCAGGUCUUGAGGAUCUGCAGAAAUCACAGUGUUUCUUGGCAGGCCCAGAGCCCCCUAAUCCCCUCACACAAAGGGACCCUGGGACACUUCAGCAGCUCUGGCUGACAAACGGGGGUCGAGGCUGCUUGUUAUUCCACUGAUCUGCUUUUGAGGGAAAUUUCUGCCAAAACAGAUACAUUAUCUGGAAAGCAGUGCCACGGAGUGACAUUGAUUUACUUUGGCUGGCCCUCAAGGACCCGUGAGGAGGGGCCUCAGAGCCUGGGUGGGUGGGUGGGGCACAAAAUCAACAGCGAGUUAAUCUUUCUUCAACGCAGCUUUCAUCAUAUCACUCGCCUGGCCAGGCGCCACCCCCCCCAAGGGCUCUUUCUUGCUAAGGGAUGAGAGCUAAACGCCUGCAUCCCCAUCCCUGCAAAUCCCACUCUUGACUUCCCCCAUUAACAAGCAGCCACCAGAGUCCGAGGCUACAACGCAUUGUUUCUUAAGCUACUCAACCUUUCCGUGCCUCAGCUUCUUCUCUCAGAUGGGGAGAACCAGAGAAUCUCAGAGGAUGUGAGGGAAGAUUAGAUGAGACAAAGCACCUUAGUUAUUAAACAGAGGACGUGCCCUUAAAGCGGCAGCCACUGGUGUGUCAGAGUCACCAGCGAAGCAGCAAUGUCAAGGACACAAAGUGGACGCUAACUCUUCUACUUUUCUAGAGCAGCAUCUGAGCAGCCAGAAAGAAUAAAAAAGAGCAUCAGUUCAAAUGGGAUUGACUGGGAUGUGGGUGGAGCUGCCGAGGGGGUUAUCUGAAUCAUCAGACUGGUUAAGGAGACUCCGGCCCUCACCAGCCAGCCCUCCCACAGCCCGCUCCCAGUCCUCGGACUAGAGCAGACCCAGCCCGGGAAUUUGUGGCCAGCGUGCCGAGAGCGAAUCCUCGUGGAAAGAUGACACAGUCUUCGCCUCUCAGGGUUGUUUUGAGGGUCGGGCGAAAUAAGCCAAAUACAAGUGCCUUGUAAACUCAAAA